AUCCAUUGUACAGUGCUUUAUUUAUAUGUUUCAAAUGUAUAAGCUAUUAUACUAUAUUAAAAACAUUAGGAAAAUAUAUAAGCUGUGUGAAAAUUUGGAAAUAUGAUGCAUCUUUCCGGCGCCCGAACUUUGAAUCUACAACACCAGAACAAGGAAGGGUAAUCUGCCCUCACAACACAUCAUUGGAUAACGACUGUCACGUGACCGCAAUUCUGCAUGGCGGCG